rnacentral:rRNA from 1 species
GAUGAACGCUAGCUACAGGCUUAACACAUGCAAGUCGAGGGGAAACGAUAGAGAAAGCUUGCUUUUUCUAGGCGUCGACCGGCGCACGGGUGAGUAACGCGUAUCCAACCUGCCCAUCACUUGGGGAUAACCUUGCGAAAGUAAGACUAAUACCCAAUGAUAUCUCUAGAAGACAUCUGAAGGAGAUUAAAGAAUUAUCGGUGAUGGAUGGGGAUGCGUCUGAUUAGCUUGUUGGCGGGGUAACGGCCCACCAAGGCGACGAUCAGUAGGGGUUCUGAGAGGACGGUCCCCCACAUUGGAACUGAGACACGGUCCGAACUCCUACGGGAGGCAGCAGUGAGGAAUAUUGGUCAAUGGACGAGAGUUUGAACCAGCCAAGUAGCGUGCAGGAUGACGGCCCUAUGGGUUGUAAACUGCUUUUAUAAGGGAAUAAAGUGAGUCUCGUGAGACUUUUUGCAUGUACCUUAUGAAUAAGGACCGGCUAAUUCCGUGCCAGCCGCCGCCGUAA